rnacentral:rRNA from 1 species
GCAAGUCGAGCGGAAACGAUCCUAGCUUGCUAGGAGGCGUCGAGCGGCGGACGGGUGAGUAACGCGUGAGAAUCUGCCCAUUUGUGGGGGAUAACUUGGGGAAACCCAAGCUAAUACCGCAUAAUCCCUACGGGGGAAAGCAGGGGACCUUCGGGCCUUGUGCAGAUGGAUGAGCUCGCGUCGGAUUAGCUUGUUGGUGAGGUAAAGGCUCACCAAGGCGACGAUCCGUAGCUGGUCUGAGAGGAUGAUCAGCCACACCGGGACUGAGACACGGCCCGGACUCCUACGGGAGGCAGCAGUGGGGAAUCUUGGACAAUGGGGGCAACCCUGAUCCAGCCAUGCCGCGUGUGUGAAGAAGGCCCUAGGGUUGUAAAGCACUUUCAGUAGGGAGGAAGGCUUGAGCUU